UACGUAGGUGACAAGCGUUGUCCGGAUUUACUGGGCGUAAAGAGCGCGCAGGCGGUCGAUCAAGUCGAGUGUGAAAGCCCCCGGCUCAACUGGGGAGGGUCAUUCGAAACUGGUCGACUCGAAGGCAGGAGAGGGUAGUGGAAUUCCCGGUGUAGUGGUGAAAUGCGUAGAUAUCGAGAGGAACACCUGCGGCGAAGGCGGGUAGCUGGGCCGACACUGACGCUGAGGCGCGAAGCCAGGGGAGCGAACGGG
rnacentral:rRNA from 1 species